rnacentral:rRNA from 1 species
UACGAAGGGGGCUAGCGUUGUUCGGAAUUACUGGGCGUAAAGGGCGCGUAGGCGGCCGCUCAAGUUAGGCGUGAAAGCCCCGGGCUCAACCUGGGAAUUGCGCUUGAUACUGUGUGGCUUGAGUUCGGGAGAGGAGAGUGGAAUUCCCAGUGUAGAGGUGAAAUUCGUAGAUAUCAGGAGGAACACCAAUGGCGAAGGCAGCUCGCUGGGACGGUACUGACGCUGAGGCGCGAAAGCGUGGGGAGCAAACAGG